UACGUAGGGUGCAAGCGUUGUCCGGAAUUAUUGGGCGUAAAGAGCUCGUAGGCGGUCUGUCGCGUCUGCUGUGAAAACUCGGGGCUUAACCCCGGGCCUGCAGUGGGUACGGGCAGACUAGAGUGCGGUAGGAGAGACUGGAAUUCCUGGUGUAGCGGUGAAAUGCGCAGAUAUCAGGAGGAACACCGGUGGCGAAGGCGGGUCUCUGGGCAACAACUGACGCUGAGGAGCGAAAGCGUGGGGAGCGAACAGG
rnacentral:rRNA from 1 species